GGGGUUAUAGCUCAGUGGUAGAGCACAUGUCUCGCAUGCAUGAGGCACUAGGUUCGACUCAACACCA
rnacentral:tRNA from 1 species